CUAUAUUGGGGUCGUCAGCCUUGAGCUGACUAUGGCGAUAAACGGCCGAUGCAAUAAGCCAUUCGGACCCGGGGGCGGUACCCGGCGCCUCCACCAGAAACCGCCGGCCCUUCAAGGAAGGACGGCUUCUGAUGGGGGCGAAAUAGGAUCGACGAGGGUGUAAAGAUCGGACUUUCGCUCGGCAUGGUACCACCGUUAUCGGGCUAAACUCUAUAGUUGCCAACGACAACUAUGCGGAAGCACGUCUCGCCGCGUAAGCGGUGCGAUAGCUUCAAAUCAAGCCUCAGGCCGUCGCAGGUCUGAGCGGGGUUCGGAGGCACCUGGCAACAGAAGCCUCCACUUCUCUCC
rnacentral:tmRNA from 1 species